ACCGUACCCUCUCGAAAAUACGCCCACCCUUUUCUGCAAGAAGUCUAGGCUUAUUAGGGGACUGGGCGUUUAAUCGCGAACGGCGAGUUUUCAUUCGAAUAUACGCCCACCCGCGGCCUCAAAUCGAGGUUUAUACUUUGCUCUAUUGUAUUUUCAUUUUAAUACAUAGUAUGAACAUUUCAUUGACAACAACAAUGUUAUAAACUAAUGCAUGAGUAUGAUAAAGCAAGACAAGAGAAUGAACAAGAAGAAGUGAACUCUGACUCUUCGUUGCUUGUCACUUGUGUCGAUGUCAGAUGUACGUAGCAGAAACUUCCCAAAGGAUGAUAGGUCAUACUCCUACAGAGCAGCUAUCAGGUACUUUGUUUCAGAAAACCAAGGCAAGGUAACCUGCAAAAUUGGCCUGUGUGAUAACUUUCUUGGACUUUGUGUUUUCUUUUCUCUGCAUAUAGGACUACUUGUUCCCUGCAUAUACAUCUUCAGGGGCAAACAGAUCCAUACAGAGAAAGUUAUAUGUCUGAUCUUGGUCCAGCAAGGAGUAUAGUCUUACUAGCUACUACCUAAAACUUCCUUUCUUCACUAAAAUUAAUGGUGAACAUGUGGCAUUUAGCUACUGCGCAUGCUCAAACUCUUCAUUCUAGGUGGGCUUAUAAUCGAGUGAAAAUACCCUUGUGCAAGAACUUAGCCUCGAUCCCAGGCCGAGUUUUCGCUUUUAUAACGGUUAGGCGAACAACUGGGCCUGGUACUAGUUGUCUGCGCAUGCGUCAAUCGUUCGUCAGAUUCUGACGAAUGGAUAUUCUCGUUCACUUUCGUGACAUUUAUAUUCGUGUACUAUCGUGUACUAGAAGUCAGUUCCCGUUUUAUCAUUAUUGGAAUCGAUUGGAAUGGCUCUUAGCUGAAGCUUCUCUCUUCUCUGAAGCUUAUUCUGAAGACUGAACAACAAGGGAAGAGGUAUAAAGCUUUGUCAAGCUUGUUAAGGUCAGAUAUUUUUGUGUGGGGCCCUAUGGCCGGCUAUGCUAUCAAGUCUUGUUCAUGUUUGGCAAGAAUGUAGGUAGACUAUAGUUUCAUCAUUAAUAUGGUGGAUCAAGUGAAGAGUGUGAGCUAGAGAACUUGGUGCUGCCAUCAUCAGCUCGUCGACAAUGACACUAUAACCGAGAAAUUUAAUAUGUAUAGAUCUACACGUAUUUAAAAUGUCUACUUCUCUGUACAGGAGCAAUGGCUAAUAUCCAGCUAUCCCAACAGUGCUCCUCUUGGCUAUACUAACGGACGAGACUGGACAGUUUGAGACACAGGACUGGAGUAUGACCUGCUCAUUCGAGCGUUGCUGGGUAGCUCAGAGAUAUCAAGAGAAUCUACGUUUUCUCAAGUAAUGAGUUACGAGUUGGGGCCUAGAAUCAGAGAAGUCCAGCAGCCUGCUAAAUCUUUUUGAAACGUAAUUUGAAGGCAUUCAAUCAUCCUGAAGUUGCCCUGGGUCACUGUAAUUGUGCUGCAGCACAACUGGCAACUCCCCAGGCCUUUGUGAAGCAGCUCCCUAUGUGCAUCUUUUGUGUACUCACUCUGUGCAUUUUCUGUGUACAAAUUUCCAUUAUUGAUUUAUUAAAUAUUUUUGCCGACCACAAA